GAAAGGUGGCCACCGAGGGGGCCUCCCAGCAUGCAGGAAUCUGGUCCCAGCUGCCUGAGGCUGUGCCAAAAGCCUGGGAUUUACUGCCCUCCCCCGCCACCCACCCCAGCCAGCUGCGGAAAGGGUGUUGAGGGGAAAUGCAUUCCAAAUCAAAAAGGCAUCAGGGCCACCCCUGCCGGCAUCAUGAGGUUGGUCUGCAGAGCCGGAGAGAAUCACCUGGGACAGAUCACACCAGAGCCCGAUCUCCAUGGGACAGGUCUGCACAGCGGCAUCUUCAAGAUGCUGAAAUUGGUCACACAGCCUCGAGUCUCAAGGCCCGGACAGAUGUGUUCUAUACACUUGUUUAAACACGGCGCUCAUUAGGAGGCCUGCUCGGAAGUACACAGCUUCCCGUCAGAGAGCCGCCGAGCUGCCUUGGAGGACGUAUUAAUUGUUGUCAGCCUCCAUUUCACACUCCAGAUAACAAACGAGAGCCACCCUGGCAGUGUUUAAGGAAGAUAAACAAGUUGCCUGAGCCCCUGCAAUUAAACACGCUUGCAUAUUUAA